GAGCGUCUCUGGCAACGUGGCCACUUCAAAGCACUUUUUACAUACAUUAUUAUUUACAAAUUUUCACUUCUUGCUUUUAAGUAUCUUCAAGAUAUUUAUUACCUAUGUAACAAACUUGCGAUUUAAAUAGACUUUGACAAAUAAUUUAUUGUAUUUAAAUCAGGGUGUUCUUCUCAACCGGACCAGAAAACUGAGAAGUAAUUUUUCUAAAAAUGGAUUUAGACAACAAUCAUGACAACGAGAAUCCUCACCUGGCCGUUAAACUUCCGGAGAUUGCAACGAACAUUGUCACCUUCCUCCCCAAAUCGGACCUCAUCUCGUGCACUUUGAUCAACUCGGCGUGGGAACAAGAAGCUCGAAAACGUCUCCUUUUCCUAUCUCACUUUAUCCUCGACGCAGAAAAUGUCGCCCACCAUCAAGAAAUUUCUUCCGUCCGGGGAAACUCCGCCAGAAACAUUGGGGUCGUCGAAUUCCCCAAUUUAUCUCGGGAAGGCCCCUGUGGAAACUUUAUUUCUACCCAUGGCCACAAAGUGAAUCGAUUGGAGACUCGCCUACUCCCGCCAGAUGUCACGUGGCCCCAAUAUUUCGAAACCUUAUCAAACUCAUUCCCCAAUCUGACCUCGGUCGUAUUACUUAUCGACAAUCUGGAUAACACCGAUUCCCCCCAAAAUCGGGUGUUCUUCCCGAAGGUUAAAAACCUAGCAAUCUACACGCCCUGGAACUUCAUGAAACCCCAGGAAAUACUAAGUACCCAAUUGGCCCCCUUAUUUCCAAACCUUGUCACCCUUUUCUGCCAACGAAUUCGUCAAUCCGUAGUCGAAUCCUUUCUCCAUUUCUCCCCAAAUGUGACCUCCUUGAUCUUGAUCAAUGUCCCGUUAUUUGAUCCAAUCCGAGAAAACACUGUAAAGCUGACCCGGCUAGAAAUCGGACAUGACUACAUCCACACCCUUUUGCCAGCAGGUUUAACCGCCAUGCUGAAAAUGUCAUCAGGAACGCUAGAAACGUUGAGUUUAGCCCGGGUCGAAAAUAUUGAUCCCUCCAAGGUACGAAAUGACAAACGAUUACUCGUAUGUUUCCCUAUCUUGCCGAAAUUACGGGUUUUUGAAAUUGUCCACAAUGAUUUCUCGACAAAGCUUGAGGGUAAAGUAAGUCCGCAGGCGACACCCGCCAUAAAUCUGAAAUUUGAAAAGGGUAGUGCACAAACGAAGUUACCUUAUGCCGAACAGUUCCCGGUUCUGGAAACAUUACGGUUUUGGAAGGGCGCCUCUUCUCGAAAGGAGAAAUUGACAGAGCAGGAAUUUUUUGAGGGGGUUGUGUCGUUCUUGUACAAUUCUUUCCUGCAUUCGACGAACACGCCGUGUGAAAGUUUGCGAGAUUUAGCCAUUCCUUUGAAAGAAGAUCGUGACGAAAAGUUCAAGGUUUUCGACGUUUCGGAAUCUGCGGAAUCAAAGGAGGUCGACGUCCAGGGGGGUUUUGAGUGGAAGAAUGUCGGAGAAUUUUUGGAUCGAUUGGACGAUGUGUUCCCAAAUUUAGUACAUUUGUAUAAGGUGGAGGAUGAGAAGGAAUUGGGAACAGAGUAAGGAGGACGACUACAUUUCAAUUUUGUAAUGUCUAUUAGAAAGCGAAAAUGCCGCAAAAUAAUUUAAAUGAAACAGAGUUUAAGUACAAGUUGCUGAUGCAGAAGUUACGGCGUAGUUUAAAAUUACUUUGAAAGGAUUUUCAAGUAAAAUAUUUGUACGUUAUUUAAGUAUUUCAGUUUUUUUGCGUUCUUGAAAAAGUGUGUGUUUGGACUAGUUUUCGUAUGCAAUUAACACGAUUUGGGUUUGUUCCCUUCUGCAAUGCUCACCUUUUGGAGGUUGCAGGUUCAGCUGUAUUAAUUAACUUUUAAGUUUAUUUUUCAUUUAUUUUCCUUUUUGAAUAAAUCAAGUUAAAUAUUCUCCAUGUAA